UAAUUUAGAAAAACUUAAUGAUAGUGUAAAUGGUGUUGUUUUUAGCGAUAUUUCAGACCAUUUACCUAUUGUGCAUAUUUUUAAUUCAAUUAUAUUGGAUAAAAACAGAAACACAAAUGAUACUACAGUAACCUAUCAAGGAGAAUAUAUUAAAGCUAACAUAUAGAAUCGCUCAAAGACGCAGUUAAAAAUAUUUCCUGGAAUGAAGUAUCAAAAGAAUCUAAUGACCCUGAAAAGGCUUAUAAUGAGUUUUUGAAAUUAUUUAUGGGUAUAUAUGAGGCAAAUUUUCCACUUAACAGAAAAGAAAACAAAACAAAACAAAAAUAAAUAAAAUAAAGAGUCCAUGGAUGACUAGGUGUAUAUUAAAGUCAGUCAAAAAUAAAAAUAAAUUAUGCAAAACCCUUCUUAAAAAUCUAAAUAAUAAAAAUAGGCAAAAAUACAUAAAAUAUAAAAAUAAACUAAACCAUAUCAUAAAAAUUGCAAAGAAAAUUUAUUAUGAAGAACAGUUAAUGAAAUACAAGAAAAAUUGAUGAUGUGGAAAACGCUAAAUGAACAACUAAAUAAACCAUCUAAAGAUAUAAAACUAUCAAAAACGUUUGUAGAAAGUUGUUCAUCAAGACCCGAAUGAAAUAGCUAGCAAAUUCAAUGACUACUUUAUUAACAUAGGUCCUACUCUAGCAAAAAAUGAAACACAAUGAAAAUGAGAGUUUUGAAAAAUAUCUUUCUGGCAGUUAUCAGUCAAACUUUUUCUAAGUGCGAUUACGGAACAUGAAC